rnacentral:rRNA from 1 species
CAACCUGCCCACCACUUGGGGAUAACCUUGCGAAAGUAAGACUAAUACCCAAUGACGUCUCUAGAAGACAUCUGAAAGAGAUUAAAGAUUUAUCGGUGAUGGAUGGGGAUGCGUCUGAUUGGCUUGUUGGCGGGGUAACGGCCCACCAAGGCGACGAUCAGUAGGGGUUCUGAGAGGAAGGUCCCCCACAUUGGAACUGAGACACGGUCCAAACUCCUACAGGAGGCAGCAGUGAGGAAUAUUGGUCAAUGGGCGAGAGCCUGAACCAGCCAAGUAGCGUGCAGGAUGACGGCCCUAUGGGUUGUAAACUGCUUUUAUAAGGGAAUAAAGUGAGUCUCGUGAGACUCUUUGCAUGUACCUUAUGAAUAAGGACCGGCUAAUUCCGUGCCAGCAGCCGCGGUAAUACGGAAGGUCCGGGCGUUAUCCGGAUUUAUUGGGUUUAAAGGGAGCGUAGGCCGGAGAAUAAGCGUGUUGUGAAAUGUAGACGCUCAACGUCUGCACUGCAGCGCGAACUGGUUUCCUUGAGUACGCACAAAGUGGGCGGAAUUCGUGGUGUAGCGGUGAAAUGCUUAGAUAUCACGAAGAACUCCGAUUG